AUCAGCUAGUUGGUAGGGUAACGGCCUACCAAGGCAACGACGGGUAGCCGGCCUUAGAGGGUGGUCGGCCGCACUGGGACUGAGACACUGCCCAGACUCCUACGGGAGACUGCAGUCGAGAAUCUUCCGCAAUGGGCGAAAGCCUGACCCAGCCAUGCCGCGUGUGUGAAGAAGGCCUUCGGGUUGUAAAGCACUUUCAGUCGUAAAGAAACGCUUCAGGCCAAUACCUUGAAGCUUUGACGUUAGCGACAGAAGAAGCACCGGCUAACUCCGUGCCAGCAGCCGCGGUAAUACGGAGGGUGCAAACGUUAAUCGGAAUUACUGGGCGUAAAGCGCGCAUAGGCGGUUUGGUAAGUGGGAUGUGAAAGCCCCGGGCUUAACCUGGGAACUGCAUUCCAAACUGCCAGGCUAGAGUUUGGUAGAGGGAGGUGGAAUUUCCUGUGUAGCGGUGAAAUGCGUAGAUAUAGGAAGGAACACCAGUGGCGAAGGCGGCCUCCUGGACCAAAACUGACGCUGAGGUGCGAAAGCGUGGGGAGCAAACAGGAUUAGAUACCCUGGUAGUCCACGCCGUAAACUAUGAGAACUAGCCGUUGGAGCCCUUGAGGCUUUGGUGGCGAAGCUAACGCGAUAAGUUCUCCGCCUGGGGAGUACGGCCGCAAGGUUAAAACUCAAAUGAAUUGACGGGGGCCCGCACAAGCGGUGGAGCAUGUUGUUUAAUUCGAUGCAACGCGAAGAACCUUACCACCCCUUGACAUCCUCAGAACUUUCCAGAGAUGGAUUGGUGCCUUCGGGAACUGAGAGACAGGUGCUGCAUGGCUGUCGUCAGCUCGUGUCGUG
rnacentral:rRNA from 1 species